rnacentral:rRNA from 1 species
UACGGAGGGUGCAAGCGUUAUCCGGAUUCACUGGGUUUAAAGGGUGCGUAGGCGGACAGGUAAGUCAGUGGUGAAAUCUCUGGGCUUAACCCAGAAACUGCCGUUGAGACUAUUUGUCUUGAAUAUCCUGGAGGUAGGCGGAAUAUGUCAUGUAGCGGUGAAAUGCUUAGAUAUGACAUAGAACACCAAUUGCGAAGGCAGCUGGCUACACGAAUAUUGACACUGAUGCACGAAAGCGUGGGGAUCAAACAGG